rnacentral:rRNA from 1 species
UACGUAGGGUGCAAGCGUUGUUCGGAAUUAUUGGGCGUAAAGCGCGUGUAGGCGGCUUGGCAAGUCGGAUGUGAAAUCCCUCGGCUCAACCAAGGAAGUGCAUCCGAAACUGCUGAGCUUGAGUACGAAAGAGGAUCGCGGAAUUCCCGGUGUAGAGGUGAAAUUCGUAGAUAUCGGGAGGAACACCAGCGGCGAAGGCGGCGACCUGGGUGGAUACUGACGCUGAGGUGCGAAAGCGUGGGGAGCAAACAGG